rnacentral:rRNA from 1 species
UACGUAGGAGGCAAGCGUUGUCCGGAGUUACUGGGCGUAAAGCGCACGCAGGCGGUCGUGUCAGUCUGGGGGUGACAGUUCCCGGCUUAACCGGAAAAGGACUCUGGAAACUGCACGACUUGAGGGCUUCAGAGGGAUGUGGAAUUCCAGGUGGAGUGGUGAAAUGCGCAGAUAUCAGGAAGAACACCCGUGGCUAAGGCGGCUCUCUAGUACGGUACUGACGCUGAGACGCGAAAGCGUGGGGAGCGAACAGG